rnacentral:lncRNA from 1 species
AUUUUGCAUGAUGUACUCUGCAUAUAAAUUAAAUAAGCAGAGUGAUAAUAUACAUCCGUGACAUACUUCUUUCCCAAAUUGGUAAUGUCUAAUACUGGCUACUAUUAAUAUAUCAAGAAAUUACUACGGCAUAACUGGUUUUGUAGUAAAAGCUGCCACACUUAACAGUAUGUAGCACAUUCUUUAGUUGGGUGCCAUAUCUUCUGGAUCACAGGUGAAAAGUAACCCUAGGUAAUGAAAAUGUCGGAGGUGAAACCGGGUUUUAUUAUCACUCUGAAGACCCCAAGACUCCAAGAGUAACGCACAGGAAAGAUUAGGAGAGUGUGGAGAUGGAGUCAUAUG